rnacentral:rRNA from 1 species
UUUCCGGUUGAUCCUGCCGCCGGACACCGCUAUUGGAAUUCGAUUAAGACAUGCGAGUCGAGAGGGGUAAGCCCUCGGCGCACGGCUCAGUAACACGCGGAUAACCUGCCCUCAGGUGGAGAAUAACCUCGGGAAACUGAGAAUAAUGCUCCAUAGUUCUGGGAUGCUGGAAUGCUUCCAGAACGAAAGCUUCGGCGCCUGAGGAUGGGUCUGCGGCCUAUCAGGUAGUAGUGGGUGUAACGAACCCACUAGCCUACGACGGGUACGGGCCUCGGGAGAGGAAGCCCAGAGAUGGACUCUGAAACACGAGUCCAGGCCCUACGGGGCGCAGCAGGCGCGAACACUGUGCAAUGCGCGAAAGCGCGACACGGGGAGCUUGAGUGUCUUGGCAUAGCCAAGACUUUUCUCAUUCCUAAAAAGCAUGAGGAAUAAGUGCUGGGUAAGACGGGUGCCAGCCGCCGCGGUAACACCCGCAGCACAAGUGGUGGUCACUUUUAUUGAGCCUAAAGCGUUCGUAGCCGGUUUUGUAAAUCUUUAGAUAAAGCCUGAAGCUUAACUCCAGAAAGUCUGAAGAGACUGCAAGACUUGAGAUCGGGUGAGGUUAGACGUACUUUCAGGGUAGGGGUAAAAUCCUGUAAUCCCGGAAGGACGACCAGUGGCGAAAGCGUUUAACUAGAACGAAUCUGACGGUAAGGAACGAAGGCUAGGGUAGCAAACCGGAUUAGAUACCCGGGUAGUCCUAGCUGUAAACACUGCCCAUUUGAUGUUGCUUUUCCGUUGAGGGAAGGCAGUGUCGGAGCGAAGGUGUUAAAUGGGCCGCUUGGGAAGUAUGGUCGCAAGACUGAAACUUAAAGGAAUUGGCGGGGGAGCACCGCAACGGGAGGAAUGUGCGGUUUAAUUGGAUUCACCGCCGG